rnacentral:rRNA from 1 species
GGCGAACGGGUGAGUAAAGCAUCGGAACGUGCCUUGAAGUGGGGGAUAACCGUCCGAAAGGAUGGCUAAUACCGCAUAUUCUGUGAGCAGGAAAGCGGGGGCUCGCAAGACCUCGCGCUUUGAGAGCGGCCGAUGUCGGAUUAGCUGGUUGGUGGGGUAAAGGCCUACCAAGGCGACGAUCCGUAGCUGGUCUGAGAGGAUGAUCAGCCACACUGGGACUGAGACACGGCCCAGACUCCUACGGGAGGCAGCAGUGGGGAAUUUUGGACAAUGGGGGCAACCCUGAUCCAGCCAUGCCGCGUGAGUGAAGAAGGCCUUCGGGUUGUAAAGCUCUUUCGGUCGGGAAGAAAUCGCAUCUCCUAAUACGGGGUGUGGAUGACGGUACCGGCAUAAGAAGCACCGGCUAACUACGUGCCAGCAGCCGCGGUAAUACGUAGGGUGCGAGCGUUAAUCGGAAUUACUGGGCGUAAAGCGUGCGCAGGCGGUUUUGUAAGACAGAGGUGAAAUCCCCGGGCUCAACCUGGGAACUGCCUUUGUGACUGCAAGGCUAGAGUAUGGCAGAGGGGGGUGGAAUUCCACGUGUAGCAGUGAAAUGCGUAGAGAUGUGGAGGAACACCAAUGGCGAAGGCAGCCCCCUGGGUCAAUACUGACGCUCAUGCACGAAAGCGUGGGGAGCAAACAGGAUUAGAUACCCUGGUAGUCCACGCCCUAAACGAUGUCGACUAGUUGUUGGUGGGGUUAAACCCAUUGGUAACGUAGCUAACGCGUGAAGUCGACCGCCUGGGGAGUACGGCCGCAAGGUUAAAACUCAAAGGAAUUGACGGGGACCCGCACAAGCGGUGGAUGAUGUGGAUUAAUUCGAUGCAACGCGAAAAACCUUACCUACCCUUGACAUGCCAGGAACUUUCCAGAGAUGGAUUGGUGCCCGAAAGGGAGCCUGGACACAGGUGCUGCAUGGCUGUUGUCAGCUCGUGUCGUGAGAUGUUGGGUUAAGUCCCGCAACGAGCGCAACCCUUGUCAUUAGUUGCCAUCAUUUAGUUGGGCACUCUAAUGAGACUGCCGGUGACAAACCGGAGGAAGGUGGGGAUGACGUCAAGUCCUCAUGGCCCUUAUGGGUAGGGCUUCACACGUCAUACAAUGGUCGGUACAGAGGGUUGCCAAGCCGCGAGGUGGAGCCAAUCCCAGAAAGCCGAUCGUAGUCCGGAUCGCAGUCUGCAACUCGACUGCGUGAAGUCGGAAUCGCUAGUAAUCGCGGAUCAGCAUGUCGCGGCGAAUACGUUCCCGGGUCUUGUACACACCGCCCGUCA